rnacentral:rRNA from 1 species
GACGAACGCUGGCGGCGUGCUUAACACAUGCAAGUCGAACGGAAAGGCCCUGCUUUUGUGGGGUGCUCGAGUGGCGAACGGGUGAGUAACACGUGAGUAACCUGCCCUUGACUUUGGGAUAACUUCAGGAAACUGGGGCUAAUACCGGAUAGGAGCUCCUGCUGCAUGGUGGGGGUUGGAAAGUUUCGGCGGUUGGGGAUGGAUUCGCGGCUUAUCAGCUUGUUGGUGGGGUAGUGGCUUACCAAGGCUUUGACGGGUAGCCGGCCUGAGAAGGUGACCGGCCACAUUGGGACUGCGAUACGGCGCAGACUCCUACGGGAGGCAGCAGUGGGGAAUAUUGCACAAUGGGCGGAAGCCUGAUGCAGCAACGCCGCGUGCGGGAUGACGGCCUUCGGGUUGUAAACCGCUUUCGCCUGUGACGAAGCGUGAGUGACGGUAAUGGGUAAAGAAGCACCGGCUAACUACGUG